CCCUUAGAUGUUCUGGGCCGCACGCGCGCUACACUGAUGCAUUCAACAAGCCUAGCCUUGACCGAGAGGUCCGGGUAAUCUUUGAAACUGCAUCGUGAUGGGGCUAGAUUAUUGCAAUUAUUAAUCUUCAACGAGGAAUGCCUAGUAAGCGUGAUUCAUCAAAUCGCGUUGAUUACGUCCCUGCCCUUUGUACACACCGCCCGUCGCUCCUACCGAUUGAAUGUGUUGGUGAGGAGCUCGGAUUGGCAGCAGUUGGUGGUUCGCCACCGGCUAUUGCUGAGAAGUCCUCCAAACCGCCCUAUUUAGAGGAAGGAGAAGUCGUAACA
rnacentral:rRNA from 1 species